rnacentral:lncRNA from 1 species
GCUUGUAAGGCUCUCAUCCCAUGGUGUCUUAAGGGUGCCUCCUAGCUCCUAAUGGGGCCCAGGCACGUUAGUGACAACCACACAGAGCUGGUGGAAGGCUAGGAGGUCUCAAGGCAUCCAAUGUGGAACUUGCAGUAUUGGUUUGUCAAGAGAUGAAACUACACCAGUUCAUUUAAGAGAGAACGUUUAUUAUGAAUAAUUAUUUACUAGGUAUAAAAGAACUGAAAAGGAAAAAGGGUAUAAACACGGAGGGAGGACUUAUCACUCUUCAGUCUUGGGGGCAAGAGAAGGGAGACAAAAACUGAAAAGAGAAGGAUGAUUAAAAUUGAGAAGCUUAGAGGAAGGGGCACUGCUCAACUGGUGCUGGUGUCUCUGAGCUCGGAGGCGCUGCCCCAUGGACCCAGGACCCACAUCUCUGAGAAGGGUGUGCCGCUGGCCGGUGCUGGUGUCUCUGAGGCAGCGUGACGAGGCUGGUUCUCCAAGUGCUGGAAGCGCUGCAAACUGGAUUCAGCUGCAGCUAUUGCAGGUAAUUGCUGCUGCCCUUGGGAGAAGCACGGCAGGGUGAUGCUCACACAAACAAGAAGCAGCCAGGAAGGAGGGGUCUUCUCCUCCCCCAGUCUUGCAGAUUCCCUCUGGAGUCCCGCACUACCAGAGACUAAUGGCAAAGCAGAGUCCCAGCCCCAGCAUCACAAAGCAGGAAAGAAAGACGAGUUUGAAGGUUCCACUUCUUCCUCCACCAUCUGCUAGGAGUGCGAAGUAGGGGUUGUCUGAAGAGAUUUGAGUCCUGGGCUGAAAGGGGCUGAGGAUCUGGGCUGAGCUGGAGAAGCCGGAGAAGGUAUAAAACUACUCAUCUCCCUCUGAGCCAUCACAGCUGAUUGUAUGAAGCUUGGCCAGGACUCAAGGAAAACCAAUCUAUAGAUGUGACAGCAGCCUAUGAGGUGACUUUACCUUGCUUUACCUGAUCAGACUGAUGGCGACUAAACUGGAUCUUUUACUCUCUACUGCGUAGUUAGUUGAUAGGUAAGAGGGUGAAUGGAGUCAGCAACACAUGGAGAGAAGCAAACACAGACACAAGCUGAGUCACAUUAAUGGUGAGGCAUUAAUGAAUGACAAAACAAGACCAAGUGUCUUGGGGCCCAAGUGACCUUUAUCUAGUCCUGGACUCUAUUAGUUUGGGUUGUGCCAUGGGCCUGUUCUCCCAU